UGGGGAAUAUUGCACAAUGGGCGCAAGCCUGAUGCAGCGACGCCGCGUGGGGGAUGACGGCCUUCGGGUUGUAAACUCCUUUCGCUAGGGACGAAGCUUUUUGUGACGGUACCUAGAUAAGAAGCACCGGCUAACUACGUGCCAGCCGCCGCGGUAAUACGUAGGGUGCGAGCGUUGUCCGGAAUUACUGGGCGUAAAGGGCUCGUAGGUGGUUUGUCGCGUCGUCUGUGAAAUUCCGGGGCUUAACUCCGGGCGUGCAGGCGAUACGGGCAUAACUUGAGUACUGUAGGGGUAACUGGAAUUCCUGGUGUAGCGGUGAAAUGCGCAGAUAUCAGGAGGAACACCGAUGGCGAAGGCAGGUUACUGGGCAAUUACUGACGCUGAGGAGCGAAAGCAUGGGUAGCGAACAGG
rnacentral:rRNA from 1 species